UACGAAGGGGGCUAGUGUUGUUCGGAAUUACUGGGCGUAAAGCGCGCGCAGGCGGUCUUCCAAGUCAGUGGUGAAAGCCCGGAGCUCAACUCCGGAACUGCCAUUGAAACUGUUGGACUUGAGUACGAGAGAGGUGAGUGGAAUUCCCAGUGUAGAGGUGAAAUUCGUAGAUAUUGGGAAGAACACCGGUGGCGAAGGCGGCUUGCUGGGCUUGGUCUGACGCUGAGGCGCGAAAGCGUGGGGAGCGAACAGG
rnacentral:rRNA from 1 species